rnacentral:tRNA from 1 species
GGCCCCAUCGUCUAGCGGUCCAGGACGCCGCCCUCUCAAGGCGGAAACACGGGUUCGAUUCCCGUUGGGGCUG